AUGCAGUAUGCUAACCAGCCCACCAUGCAGAUCACGGAGCUCACCGACGAGAACGUCAAGUUUAUCAUCGAGAAUACGGACCUGGCAGUGGCCAACUCUAUUCGGAGGGUCUUCAUCGCUGAGGUGCCCAUAAUAGCUAGCCAUCGACUGGGUUCAGAUUGAUGCCAAUUCCUCAGUCCUUCAUGAUGAGUUCAUCAUUCACAGGCUUGGAUUAAUUCCCCUCACCAGUGAUGACAUUGUGGACAAGCUGCAGUACUCUCGGGACUGCACAUGUGAAGAGUUCUGCCCACAGUGCUCUGUGGGACGUUCGGUGCAAUGAAGACCAGACGCGUCAUGUCACAUCUCGAGACCUCAUCUCCAACAGCCCCCGGGUCAUUCCGGUGACAUCACAGAACCGAGAUAAUGACCCUAAUGACUACGUGGAGCAGAACGACAUCCUCAUUGUCAAGCUGAGGAAAGGCCAGGAACUGAGACUUCGAGCCAAUGCCAAAAAGGGCUUUGGCAAAGAACUUGCCAAAUGGAACCCUACUGCAGGGGUGGCUUUUGAAUAUGAUCCAGAUAAUGCUCUGAGGCAUACAGUGUACCCCAAACCAGAGGAAUGGCCAAAGAGUGAGUACUCAGAGCUGGAUGAGGACGAGUCACAGGCUCCCUAUGACCCCAGUGGCAAGCCUGAGAGGUUUUACUACAACAUGGAGUCCUGUGGCUCUCUGCGCCCUGAAACCAUUGUCCUCUCAGCCCUCUCUGGAUUGAAGAAGAAGCUGAGUGAUUUACAAACUCAAUUAAGCCAGAGUGAUGUAUUAACCAUAAACUAG